rnacentral:rRNA from 1 species
CCCUUAGAUGUUCUGGGCCGCACGCGCGCUACACUGACGAUGGCAACGAGUUUUUCCUUCGCCGAAAGGUGUGGGUAAUCUUUUGAAACAUCGUCGUGCUGGGGAUAGAUCAUCGCAAUUUUUGAUCUUGAACGAGGAAUUCCUAGUAAGCGCGAGUCAUCAGCUCGCGUUGAUUACGUCCCUGCCCUUUGUACACACCGCCCGUCGCUACUACCGAUUGAAUGGUUUAGUGAGGACUCCUGAUUGGCACCGCCGCCCCGGCAACGGAGCAGCGGACUGCCGAAAAGUUGUUCAAACUUGAUCAUUUAGAGGAAGUAAAAGUCGUAACA